AAUGGAGACCGAAAGAACAGAUGAUCAGAGAGCAGGGAAGGAGUUUCUUCCACGGAUCGCCUGAGAGUCCCUGAACUUGAGGGAGGAUUUGUUUCUGCACAUCAUGUGGCUGCUGCUGGCGGCUGCGUAUCUGAGCUCAGGAGCGGAACACCACUUGGCCUGGGCAGAAACCCAGAGUAUUGCCACAGAGAGGGCAAGCAUCCAGGGACUGAUCACAUGAAGCUCCAUCCACAAUACUGUGUGGCACAGCCAUGCAAGAGAUACAGUUAACUACUAACAGUUUUCAGUUUCCAGAUGCCUGGCCUUGACACCAGAAGUGAUCAUCAGCCCCUUUGUGCUGAGCCAGACUGGAAUGGAAGAGUAUUUUC
rnacentral:lncRNA from 1 species